GCGGGAAUAGCUCAGUUGGUAGAGCGCAACCUGGCCAAGGUUGAGGUCGCGAGUUCGAGCCUCGUUUCCCGCUCCA
rnacentral:tRNA from 1 species